rnacentral:rRNA from 1 species
CUACGGGCUGCAGCAGUGGGGAAUAUUGGACAAUGGGCGCAAGCCUGAUCCAGCAAUGCCGCGUGAGUGAAGACGGCCUUAGGGUUGUAAAACUCUUUCGCUAGGGAAGAUAAUGACUGUACCUAGUAAAGAAGUCCCGGCUAACUCCGUGCCAGCAGCCGCGGUAAUACGGAGGGGACUAGCGUUGUUCGGAAUUACUGGGCGUAAAGAGUUCGUAGGCGGACUGACAAGUUAGAGGUGAAAUCCCAGGGCUCAACCCUGGAACUGCCUUUAAAACUGUCAGUCUAGAGACCGGAAGAGGUUAGGGGAAUACCUAGUGUAGAGGUGAUAUUCGUAGAUAUUAGGUGGAACACCAGUGGCGAAGGCGCCUAACUGGUCCGGUACUGACGCUAAGGCGUGAAAGCGUGGGGAGCAAACAGGAUUAGAUACCCUCGUAGUC